rnacentral:rRNA from 1 species
UACGUAGGGGGCCAGCGUUGCUCGGAAUUACUGGGCGUAAAGGGUUCGUAGGCGGUGUGGCAAGUUGGGAGUGAAAUCUCUGGGCUCACCCCAGAGGCUGCUUCCAAAACUGCUGUGCUUGAGUGUGGGAGAGGCGCGUGGAAUUGCAGGUGUAGCGGUGAAAUGCGUAGAUAUCGGGAGGAACACCUGUGGCGAAAGCGGCGCACUGGACCACAUCUGACGCUGAGGCGCGAAAGCUAGGGGAGCAAACAGG